rnacentral:rRNA from 1 species
AUGCGCCAUUUGAUCCUCCUACUACUAGCCAUCUUCUUUGCUCCAACAUCCUCCACCAUAUCUUCUCCUAACCAACAGGCACAGGCAGCCUUCCUCGUCACCUCAUGGCUGAACAACACGGCUACACGUCCAACGGACUGGUUGCUCGGGUUGGCCUCACCAUGCGGGUGGUCCCACAUCAGCUGCGAUGCUGCAAGUGGCACCACAGUGGUGUCCAUCAUAUUCAGUGAUAUCCAACUAGGUGUGGUCCUCCCGCGUGGCCUAUGCGCCGCACUACCGCAGCUGAGCACCUUUAUUGUCACCGGUGCCGGCCUGACUGGUUUCAUCCCCGACGACCUAUCCCGGUGCAGCCACCUCACUGUGCUUGACAUGAGCAACAACUCGCUGUCUGGCUCUAUCCCGUCGUCGCUCGGCAACCUUGCACCAUCGCUCAAACAACUUCACUUGUUUAGUAAUCUUCUCUCCGGUGAGCUGCCGGUCUCACUUAGCGAGCUGUGGCUAGUUGAGUCACUGCGCAUAGGUGACAACCCGGAGCUGAGCGGGCAAAUACCGGAAUCUUUCUCAAAACUCCGCAAUGUUAUCACACUCGGCAUGGCACAGACAAACAUUUCUGGUUCCAUCCCUGCCUCGCUAGGGCAGCUUUGCAGGAUACAAACACUACGCCUACAGGUAGCAAGGCUUUCUGGGUCCAUCCCACCAGAGCUAGGGAACUGUUCAAAUCUCAUCGACAUCCACCUAUAUGAAAACUCACUAUCGGGCCCACUCCCGGCAGCAUUGGGCAUGCUUCCACGAUUGCAUUUUCUUUACCUUUCUGAUAACUUCCACACGGGGCCCAUCCCAAAAUCAUUCGGGAACCUGACCACGUUACUGGAGCUAGACCUAGGUGAUAACUGCCUUUCCGGUGUUGGACCGGUAUUCCUUGGUAGGUUAUUAGCUCUACGAUGGUUGGACCUGAGUAUCAACAAUCUAACUGGCUCAAUCCCUCCUGAAAUUGGCCGACUCACCAGUUUGACUUAUCUGAUGAUGUGCCAAAACCAGCUCAGUGGAACUAUCCCAGCAUCACUAACUUCGCUCAUCACCCUUGAGUUUCUCGACCUCUCAAUGAAUCUUCUCACCGGCGUCGUACCCCCAAUGUUAUUCCAUCUACCAAACUUAACUUCGCUAUUGCUCAGAUCAAAUGAUUUAUCAGGACCACUGCCACAUGACAUCAGCAGGGCAAGAAACCUCACGUAUCUUCACCUUGGUGGCAAUCGUAUUGCUGGGUCCAUACCUCCAGCGGUCGCUGGAAUGAAGAGUAUAAAAUACCUCAUCCUCAGCAACAACCGGCUUACUGGACCUAUGCCUGCUAAACUGGGAAGCUGCUUGCAGCUGCAGAUGAUCGUUCUUAGUAACAACAUGUUGAGUGGGACUCUGCCAACUUCACUGGUUGGUUUGAGAGAUCUUCAACAGCUCGAUAUCUCACAUAACCAAUUCACAGGCCAUGUGCCACAUAUGCUUUCUCAGCUCAAAGCCCUGAAAAGAUUGAUGCUCAGCGGAAACUCAUUCGUUGGCCCAAUACCGGCAUCUCUCGGACAAUGCACCAAUCUUGAACUCCUUGACCUUAGCGACAACAAGCUCUAUGGGCUUAUUCCUGAUGAGCUUUUUGACAUUGAUAAGCUCAACAUUGUGCUAAACUUGAGCGCUAACAAGCUCACCGGGCAAUUACCCGCAAAGAUGUCAGCCUUGAAGAAACUCAAUGUUCUCGACCUCUCACACAAUGCUCUCAAUGGCACCCUCGACCCUCUAGCUGGGAUGGCCAGCCUUGUGACACUAAAUGUGUCCAAUAAUAACUUCUCUGGGUACAUUCCUGAAACUAUUCUCUUUCAACAUAUUCCUAUAUCGUGCCUCAUCGGCAAUUCUGGGCUCUGCAACAAAGGAUGGAAUGUCUGUUCUGCCAAGGACACAGACGGCAGCCCGCAGACAAAGAAGAAUGCCAACCAAAAGCACAACAUUACCAUAAUAUUUGUGGUGAUUGCUGCAGUAUUGGCAGUACCAGGGAUUAUUGUGACACUUAGUGUGUGUGGAAGAGGAAAAUAUCGUGCUGGUGACAGUAUGGUGAGCCUGGAGUUGGCAAGUCUACCUAAGUUUGUGGCAUUUCAAAACUUGACCUUCUCCAUUGAGCAAUUGCUAAGCAAACUUGCCGAAUCAGACAAAAUAGGCCAAGGUGCUGCCGCUGAGGUCUAUCGUGUCAACAUCAGCAACAACAGAUCAGUCGCUGUCAAGAAACUUCGGCAAGGACAAGGGAAACCAAAUGAGGGAAACAACAACAUCCUCGGUCACCCCAUCCAAAACACAUUCUGGACAGAGGUACGCACAAUCGGUUCAAUCCGGCAUAAAAACAUUGUGCGGUUUCUAGGGUACUACUUCAGCAGUAGCGUCCAACUUCUCCUGUAUGAUUAUGUACCAAAUGGUAGCCUUGGCGGGUUGCUCCAUGAUGGCAGCAGUUUGCAACUAGAUUGGAAAAUUCGAUACCAAAUCUUGUUGGGUGUGUCACAUGGACUAACAUACCUUCAUCAUGACUGCACACCACCAAUCAUCCACCGCGACAUCAAGCCGAAUAACAUUCUAAUUGACCUUGACUUCAAAGCCUACAUUGCAGACUUUGGCAUCGCAAAGCUGUUCGACCCUAGAGCAUUGAUCCAUACAUGUGCUGGCACAUUUGGUUAUAUGGCUCCAGAAUACACUCACGGGACUGAGAUCAACGAGAAGAGUGAUGUCUACAGCUUUGGAGUGGUCAUGCUAGAAGUCCUGACAGGCAAGAAACCUAUUAUCUCAGUCGAAGAUGCCACCCACAUUGUUGAAUGGGUCCAGGAGCAGAAUGAUGUGAGGGAGGCACUUGACUCUAUCCUCCGGGGCCAGCCCAACUCAGAGAUCCAGGAGAUGCUGCAGGUGAUAGGAGUUGCUUUACUUUGCACUAGGCAUACCCCAAGUAGGCGUCCAACAAUGAAAGACGUCACCUGUAUGUUGGAGGAGAUCCACGGGCAAGGAGCACAUUAA